UCCCCACCACUCCAGUAGCGGCGGGAGCAGCAGCGUCAGGCCGGGGUGUGGCUGCACCUCUGCGAAGGCUGUGGUGCCCGGUGCAGCUGCGGCGUUCGGGUGGGGGAGGGGAGGCUUACACUGUGCGGCGGCUUAAGCCUGGAUGUACGCACCGAAGAAGGGAAUUAGCCCUGAGAUGUCAACCCUGUUCCCCUGGCUCUGUUCACCCGGACUUCCGCGGAGCGCCAGGCGCCGCAGCGGACCGCGCGCGCGCUGAUUGCCGCAGCUACUCUCCCUGCCGUCGCCGCCCGGGACCGGGUGACAUUGAGGUUUUCGUCUAUCGCCGCUGGGCCGAUAGGGCUUUUUAAGAUUUGGCUUUCCAAGUAAGAUUUUUGUUUGCCUGCUUUUCUCCUGAAAUUUUUUUUUUUUUUUGGUCGAAGAAGCAGGUAACUUGCAUAUCUUAAGGAAAACAUUGUUUUUGCUUUGCUUUUGUUGUUUAAAGAUCCUAAAACGUACCAUGAUUCCUUUACGUUACUAAUAAUUGGAAAGUGUGUUAAAUCAAGGGUUCGCUUAAUGUUCUUUAGCCCUUGUACAUAGAACAUAUAAAUGUUGUGAGUCAUCUUUACGAGGUU
rnacentral:antisense_RNA from 1 species